UACGAAGGGGGCUAGCGUUGCUCGGAAUGACUGGGCGUAAAGGGCGCGUAGGCGGAUGGCACAGUCAGAUGUGAAAUUCCCGGGCUUAACCUGGGGGCUGCAUUUGAUACGUGUUGUCUUGAGUUCGGAAGAGGGUCGUGGAAUUCCCAGUGUAGAGGUGAAAUUCGUAGAUAUUCGCAAGAACACCAGUGGCGAAGGCGGCUCACUGGCCCGAUACUGACGCUGAGGCACGAAAGCGUGGGGAGCAAACAGG
rnacentral:rRNA from 1 species